CAGGGAGACAACAAAAUGUUUAAUAUUAUUAUUUUGUCACCUUAGGUCGAUCGGUAUCUCACAUUCUCGAUUUAUUGAGGAUUUCAUUUCCUAAGUUUUUCUAGGUCACACCCAUUACUUUUCCUGGGCCAUUAGCUCAGGUGGUUAGAGCGCACCCCUGAUAAGGGUGAGGUCCCUGGUUCAAGUCCAGGAUGGCCCAUAUCUCUAUGUUGGGGGUAUAGCUCAGUUGGUAGAGCGCCUGCUUUGCAAGCAGGAUGUCAGCGGUUCGAGUCCGCUUACCUCCACUGAUUACCACCUCUUCCAUAUUUUAUAGAAGGGAAUUGUUUUGAGUUGUGAUCAAAUCUGAACGAAUCUAGCUUCCUAAUGAAAUCAUUAAGAUGCUGGACUCAUUGAAUUAAUUUCAUUGUUUUCAGAGAACCUUGACAACUGCAUAGAUUAUUUUUAAAGACAAUAAGCAUCUUUAAUGAUGCAGAUUUAUUAUUUGUGCGAAUGCAUUAAUAACAAUUCUAUUAAGCUGAUGCUUCAAUUUUUGAAGUUAUU
rnacentral:tRNA from 1 species